rnacentral:tRNA from 1 species
AAAGCUUUAAGUUAAAAUUAAACUUUUAACCUUCAAAGUUAACUAUAAAAAUUUAUUUUUAAGCUUUA